GCUCAACCGGGGAGGGUCAUUGGAAACUGGGAAACUUGAGUGCAGAAGAGGAGAGUGGAAUUCCACGUGUAGCGGUGAAAUGCGUAGAGAUGUGGAGGAACACCAGUGGCGAAGGCGACUCUCUGGUCUGUAACUGACGCUGAGGAGCGAAAGCGCGGGGAGCGAACAGGAUUAGAUACCCUGGUAGUCCACGCCGUAAACGAUGAGUGCUAAGUGUUAGGGGGUUUCCGCCCCUUAGUGCUGCAGCUAACGCAUUAAGCACUCCGCCUGGGGAGUACGGUCGCAAGACUGAAACUCAAAGGAAUUGACGGGGGCCCGCACAAGCGGUGGAGCAUGUGGUUUAAUUCGAAGCAACGCGAAGAACCUUACCAGGUCUUGACAUCCUCUGACAACCCUAGAGAUAGGGCUUUCCCUUCGGGGACAGAGUGACAGGUGGUGCAUGGUUGUCGCCAGCUCGUGUCGUGAGAUGUUGGGUUAAGUCCCGCAACGAGCGCAACCCUUGAUCUUAGUUGCCAGCAUUUAGUUGGGCACUCUAAGGUGACUGCCGGUGACAAACCGGAGGAAGGUGGGGAUGACGUCAAAUCAUCAUGCCCCUUAUGACCUGCGCUACACACGUGCUACAAUGGACAGAACAAAG
rnacentral:rRNA from 1 species